GCCCGCUCAGAAACUCAAAUGAAUUGACGGGGCCCGCACAAGCGGAGGAGCAUGUGGUUAAUUCGAUGAUACGCGAGGAACCUUACCUGGGCUCGAACGUAAGAUGACUGUAGGUGAAAGCUUACAUCUCUUCGGAGCAUUUUACGAGGUGCUGCAUGGUUGUCGUCAGCUCGUGCCGUGAGGUGUCGGGUUAAGUCCCAUAACGAGCGCAACCCUACCUUUAGUUGCCAUCAGGUAAUGCUGGGGACUCUAAAGGAACUGCCUACGCAAGUAGUGAGGAAGGCGGGGAUGACGUCAAAUCAGCACGGCCCUUACGUCCAGGGCUACACACGUGCUACAAUGGCCGAUACAGAGGGCAGCUACCUGGUGACAGGAUGCAAAUCUCCAAAGUCGGUCUCAGUUCGGAUCGGAGUCUGCAACCCGACUCCGUGAAGUUGGAUUCGCUAGUAAUCGCGCAUCAGCCAUGGCGCGGUGAAUACGUUCCCGGGCCUU
rnacentral:rRNA from 1 species